CCUACGGGUGGCAGCAGUGGGGAAUAUUGCGCAAUGGGCGAAAGCCUGACGCAGCGACGCCGCGUGCGGGAUGACGGUCUUCGGAUCGUUAACCUCCGUCAGCAGGGAAGAACGGUCACUGUGCUAAUCAGCAGUGAAUUGACGGUACCUGCAAAGGAAGCACCGGCUAACUCCGUGCCAGCAGCCGCGGUAAUACGGAGGGUGCGAGCGUUAAUCGGAAUUACUGGGCGUAAAGCGCUCGUAGGCGGUAUGUCAAGUCAAGGGUGAAAUCCCCGCGCUCAACGUGGGAACUGCCUUUGAAACUGGCAAACUGGAGUGUGUGGGAGGAUAGUGGAAUUCCAGGUGUAGGAGUGAAAUCCGUAGAUAUCUGGAGGAACAUCAGUGGCGAAGGCGACUAUCUGGCACAUAACUGACGCUGAGGAGCGAAAGCGUGGGUAGCAAACAGGAUUAGAUACCCGAGUAGUC
rnacentral:rRNA from 1 species